CCUACGGGGGGCAGCAGUGGGGAAUAUUGCACAAUGGGGGAAACCCUGAUGCAGCGACGCCGCGUGAGUGAAGAAGUAUUUCGGUAUGUAAAGCUCUGUCAGCAGGGAAGAAAAUGACGGUACCUGACCAAGAAGCCCCGGCUAACUACGUGCCAGCAGCCGCGGUAAUACGUAGGGGGCAAGCGUUAUCCGGAUUUACUGGGUGUAAAGGGAGCGUAGACGGCAGGGCAAGUCUGGAGUGAAAGCCGGGGGCCCAACCCCGGGACUGCUUUGGAAACUGCCAGGCUGGAGUGCAGGAGAGGUAAGUGGAAUGCCUAGUGUAGCGGUGAAAUGCGUAGAUAUUAGGAGGAACACCAGUGGCGAAGGCGGCUUACUGGACUGUAACUGACGUUGAGGCUCGAAAGCGUGGGGAGCAAACAGGAUUAGAUACCCCAGUAGUC
rnacentral:rRNA from 1 species